GGUCCGCAACGCCACAAGGGAGCCGCCACAAGGCACCCGAGGUGCUCCCGGCUGUGGGAGCGGCAGGGCAAUGCCAGGCAGCUGUCACAAAGCUCGCUGUUCACCACACGAAGCUCACGGAAACUUCUCCCUUUGUUCCCGGGGCUCGAAUAAACGCAUAAACACUCCAACACAGUCACCUGUGCUUUAAAGAUGGAAUUAAUCUUGUCCUUUCUGCCUUCGUCCGCGAUUUAGUGGCAUAGGCGGGCACAAUCUCUAAGCUUCAGAGCCUCUAAUUUAGCACCAUAAAUUUGGAGCCAUAAGCUGGCAGCGAUGGAAGGCGUCUUUAUGGCUUUUUGGUCAGGCUGCCUUAUAAAUGCGAGAUAAAAUGUGAGAUAACCCCUACCAGUAUGUUUUCCAGGUUUUCUGCUCCUAGAAUAAAAAGCGACGAGAUUUAUACCGCUUCCUGAAAACAGGCUGGUUUGCCACACUGCAUUAGUUAUCACGAGGAAGUACUGGCUGAUGACUGUCACAUUGCCUUACUGAUCCAACUUAAGCCCCCCAAACUAAUGCAAUUAACGUGAAGAACUAACUGCAGAGCAAAUACUCAUUCUGGAGAGUUCCCUCAAAGUCUGAUUUAAAUCAGCUACAAUUGCAUAAUUUAUCUCCUGUCUGUUUCUUCAGAAGGGUUAUUAUAGCGCUCCAGUUUAAAACAGUUCCUAAAUACAACACUAUUUUUUUAAAAAAUCUGCAGUUUCUGGGAAGGUUUAUGUAUGAGACCUACUUACCUAACAAUGGGCUCCAUGAAACCUUGAAAGUUCAUCCAAAGAACUCCAGGACCAAGACCUAUAUAUAAAAUGUAGGGGUAAAAAAUGAUCUUUGAAGCUAACCCUAAAAACGACUGCUUGGCAAAGGAAAGCCUCUUACUUUAGAGGUGGAGAAGCUGAGGAAUAAUGAGAUAAAGGAUAAAGUCACUUACCCAUGAUUGCACAGCAAUUCAGUGUCAAGAGCAGAAAACACAACCCAACAGAGCGGAUUAGAACAUGCCAUUUUUCUUUCUGUUAGGAAUUCUGAGGUCUUAGAAAAAAAAUAAUCCUGCCUAUCCAAGAGAACUCCAUCUAAGGAGAAACAAGGCUGAAUUCCUCAGCAAACCAGCUAUCAUCUGGAAGG
rnacentral:lncRNA from 1 species